rnacentral:rRNA from 1 species
GAAUAAUAAAAUAAUAAUCAUCAUAAAAAUGAAGAUAAUAGUACUAAUAAACAAUAGAUAAAUAAAUAAAUGAAUAAAUAAAUCGCACGCUCCUUGGUCUGCAGAG